ensembl:misc_RNA Metazoa_SRP Metazoan signal recognition particle RNA
UCCGGGCGCGGUGGCGCAUGCCUGUAGUCCCAGCUACUCUGGAGGCUGAGGUGGGAAGACCGCUCGAGCCCAGGAGUUCUGGGCUGUAGUGCACUAUGCCAAUCCGGUGUCCAUACUAAGUUCGGCAUCAAUGUGGUAACCUCCUGGCAACGGGGGACCACCAGGUGGCCUAAGGAGGGGCGAACUGGCCCAGGUGGGAAACGGAGCAGGCCAAAACUUCCAUGCUGAUCAGUAGUGGGAUGGCACCUGUGAUAGCCACUGCACUCCAGCCUGGGCAACAUAGCAACACCUAGUCUCAA